UUCCCACGCCGGGAAUUGAACCCGGGCCUUUCGGGUGAGAGCCGAAUAUCCUAGCCACUAGACCACGUGGGAUA
rnacentral:tRNA from 1 species